CCUACGGGAGGCAGCAGUGAGGAAUAUUGGACAAUGGGCGCAAGCCUGAUCCAGCCAUGCCGCGUGCAGGAAGACGGUCCUAUGGAUUGUAAACUGCUUUUGUACAGGAAGAAACACUCCCUCGUGAGGGAGCUUGACGGUACUGUAAGAAUAAGGAUCGGCUAACUCCGUGCCAGCAGCCGCGGUAAUACGGAGGAUCCAAGCGUUAUCCGGAAUCAUUGGGUUUAAAGGGUCCGUAGGCGGUUUAAUAAGUCAGUGGUGAAAUCUGGUCGCUCAACGAUCAAACGGCCAUUGAUACUGUUAGACUUGAAUUAUUAGGAAGUAACUAGAAUAUGUAGUGUAGCGGUGAAAUGCUUAGAUAUUACAUGGAAUACCAAUUGCGAAGGCAGGUUACUACUAAUGGAUUGACGCUGAUGGACGAAAGCGUGGGGAGCGAACAGGAUUAGAUACCCUGGUAGUCCACGCCGUAAACGAUGGAUACUAGCUGUUCGGAGCAAUCUGAGUGGCUAAGCGAAAGUGAUAAGUAUCCCACCUGGGGAGUACGUUCGCAAGAAUGAAACUUAAGGAAUUGACGGCUGAGACGAGACGAGACGACGACGAGGGAGGAGG
rnacentral:rRNA from 1 species